AUCAUCACACAAGACAAAACAACUACAAUGAACAACAUCAUCAUCCUCAUCUGGACACUCACACUGUUUGCUCGAGAGUGUAGAGGACAGAUCACUGUAACUCAGAGUCCAUCAUUAAUAACAGCAGCUCAAGGACAAGAAGCCAGAAUAAACUGUAAAACCAGCAGUAGAAUGUAUGUGUCACGGAUCGGUCAGGCCCUUCCCUGUUUAGCCUGGUACUUACAGAAACCUGGAGAAGCUCCUAAACUCCUCAUAUAUUAUGCAACAAGCCGUUACACUGGAACUCCAUCUGGAUUCAGUGGCAGUGGAUCUAACAGUGAUUUCACUCUGACCAUCAGUGGAGUCCAGACUGAAGAUACAGGAGAUUAUUACUGUCAGAGUUUACACUAUAUCAGUAGUAGCUGA